UUCGCUCCUCUGCCAGUACACCAACAGCUGCCGACUCCAGUCGUCAAUCCGUCAAUUGCCUGAAGAUUGCGGACGACACCACCCUCAUUGGGCUCAUCUGUGGUGGGGAUGAGGCCGCCUACAGGUGGGAGCUUGACCAUCUGGUGACCGGCUGCGGACAGAACAACUUGGAGCUCCACGCUCAAAAGACAGUGGAGAUGGUUGGGGAUUUCAGGAAGAGCGCACCUCUAGUGAGAGCUGAAAAGAAAUUUAAUGAAAAUGUUUAGUCUGUACUACCAGUUAGCUGCAAAGACAACAGGUAAAGACAGAUUGCGAAGCAUAAGAAACUUAAAUGUGUGAGGAAAAUGACACAGAUUGUUUUUACAGCACACAGGACGAAGCUACCAGCCACUGUUUCUAGACCUGCAGAGCCGGAUGACCCCACUGUGACUGCUGCUUUCAUGAAAGCACACAGAAGCCAGUCUCCCGCAGUCCUUUGGAGUCUGUGAUAACAGGAGCUCCAUCUCUUCCUAAAGAUUCAUCAUCCUCACAGAAUAUUGCCCCUGUGGAAGCACAGAGAGACGCUGUCCAUGAUGAAGCUCCACCAUGUCAAGUGCCUCCUGUCAGGCAGCCAGCAGCCCCAGUCCCAGGCUACAAUCCGGAUGUUGCACAGUGGAACUGAUCCCAUCAGCCGAAGAUAUGGAUGAAGACUGAGCUCGAGACAUUGGGUCUGUGGCCAGGGUCACGUCCAGUAUGUCACCCAAUGAACAUGAUUUCCCUGUGGCGCUAUCCACCUCAGCCUGAGCUCAUAGACUCAAUUACAGAAAUAUUUUCAGCUUCACCCAUUCUUCAUUUGGAAGCCAGAGCAUGCAAUUACGAAAAGGCUGAGGAAUAAUUUUGUCCCGCCGUGUCUCCAUGGUUGUCCAUCAGAUGCUGAUGACUGUACAUACGUGCUGUGUGAAUGGAUUUUCUUUAUUUAUUAUUAGUAUUUAGUUUUAACUGUCUUUCUCUUAAUUAUGGUCUCCUCUACCUGCUCUGGUUUGAACAACACUUUGGUCACAAGCGUUGUUUUGAAUUUUUCUUUAUAAAUAGAUUUGAUUUGAUUUGAUUGAAGUUGAAACAGACAAGAAUGGAGACUCAACCCUGUUUAAAGUUUCAGUUAGCUUUGUGCAGCUACAGCCGAAAAUGUCCUUCAGAGGAACUAAGAGAGUACUUUUAUACUUUGAGUACAUUUUUAGAGCCUGUACUUUUUCACUUUUACUUGAGUAAAGAAGUUGAGUCAUUACUUCUACUUUUACCAGUCUUUUUACACAAGUAACUGUACUUCUGAGUAAAGAAUGUAUGUACCUUUGCCACCUCUGCUUCCAGCUAAAACAAUUAGUCGACUAAUAAAACAGUUGAUCAGCUUUAAAUUAAUCAGCAACUAAUGUUCAUUUUUUAAGCAAGAAUGACACAUUUUGCUAAAAAAUACAGAUGUAAAAACUUCUAAACUUGCAGAAAUGUAUCAGUUCUGAUAAUCUUUGCUGAUUUGGUUACCUCUGUUACUUUUGCUGCUGAAGGGCCUGAUACUUAAGAUGUAACCCGCCCUUAGGUUUCAGUGGCAGAGAAAUCACAGAUGUAUGUUUGUUGUAUCCUAAUGUCAGAAAUGCUAAUGCUAAGUUGGCAUGCGCAUUAUAAGACAGGUUUCAAGAAUUUCUGCACCCUUGAUUUUGAGAAAAAUACAGCAUAUGAGAAAAAUACAGCGUAUGUCAGUCUGUCUGCAAUCUCAGUGAUUACUUUGGUAAUUAUUUCUGUAAUAUAAACUUUCCUAUCAGAAUGUGGAUGGUACCUUUAAAAUGUGUGUUUCAGGACUGAUGUACAGUGGCUGCAGUUGUUGAAAUCUGGUGAUAUGCACACCCUUCUUUAAACUGCGCUGGGAGUUUAAUAUCCAGUGUACCUGGGUGAUGCUGUCUUUGUAUCAUUUUGUCAAAAAGCAGAGCUUUAUGGUCGGUUGUGUUUCCUGUCUGGCAGUAACACAACAGAAAAUACCCCUGUUAACACUGCAUUGUAUUUAAAUGGAUACUUCUGUA